UACGUAGGGGGCGAGCGUUGUCCGGAGUUACUGGGCGUAAAGGGCAUGCAGGCGGUCGGACGCGUUUCGGGUGACAGCGGGUGGCUUAACUACCCGAGUGGUCGAAAGACAGUUUGACUUGAGGACGCGAGAGGGACACGGAAUUCCGGGUGGAGUGGUGAAAUGCGUAGAGAUCCGGAGGAACACCGAAGGCGAAGGCAGUGUCCUGGCGCGUAACUGACGCUGAGGUGCGAAAGCCAGGGGAGCGAACGGG
rnacentral:rRNA from 1 species